rnacentral:rRNA from 1 species
UAGGGAAUAUUGGGCAAUGGAGGGAACUCUGACCCAGCCAUGCCGCGUGCAGGAUGAAGGCGUUAUGCGUUGUAAACUGCUUUUUAUAUAGGAAGAAAUAGUCCUUGCGAGGAAAGUUGACGGUACUAUAUGAAUAAGCACCGGCUAACUCCGUGCCAGCAGCCGCGGUAAUACGGAGGGUGCAAGCGUUGUCCGGAUUUAUUGGGUUUAAAGGGUGCGUAGGCGGUUUAUUAAGUCAGUGGUGAAAGACGGUCGCUCAACGAUUGCAGUGCCAUUGAUACUGGUAGACUUGAGUAUGAUUGAGGUAGCUGGAAUGGAUAGUGUAGCGGUGAAAUGCAUAGAUAUUAUCCAGAACACCAAUUGCGUAGGCAAGUUACUAAGUCAUAACUGACGCUGAGGCACGAAAGUGUGGGUAUCAAACAGGAUUAGAUACCCCAGUAGUCCCUGAGCGGGCUGGCAAGGCGCAU